rnacentral:rRNA from 1 species
ACGGAAGGCAGCAGUGGGGAAUAUUGGGCAUUGGGCGAAAGCCUGACCCAGCGACGCCGCGUGAAGGAAGAAGGCCCUCGGGUUGUAAACUUCAGUCAACAGGGAAGAAACAAAUGACGGUACCUGUGGAGGAAGCCACGGCUAACUACGUGCCAGCAGCCGCGGUAAUACGUAGGUGGCGAGCGUUAUCCGGAUUUACUGGGUGUAAAGGGUGUGUAGGCGGGUCUGCAAGUCAGAUGUGAAAAUUAUGGGCUUAACCCAUAACUUGCGUUUGAAACUGUGGAUCUUGAGUGUCGGAUGGGUAAAUGGAAUUCCCAGUGUAGCGGUGAAAUGCGUAGAUAUUGGGAGGAACACCGGUGGCGAAGGCGGCUUACUGGACGAUUACUGACGCUGAGACACGAAAGUGUGGGGAGCAAACAGGAUUAGAUACCCUGGUA